CAGUCGAACGAGGGUCCUUCGGGACUCGAGUGGCGAACGGGUGAGUAACACGUAGGGAACCUGCCCGUGCGACCGGGAGAACUUUCGGAAACGGAAGCUGAUACCGGAUAGGGACAGAGACGGCAUCGACUCUGUGUUAAAGGAGCUGAAAGGCUCCGCGCACGGAUGGACCUGCGGUGCAUUAGCUGGUUGGUGAGGUAACGGCCCACCAAGGCGACGAUGCAUAGCCGGCCUGAGAGGGCGGACGGCCACACUGGGACUGAGACACGGCCCAGACUCCUACGGGAGGCAGCAGUAGGGAAUUUUCGUCAAUGGGCGCAAGCCUGAACGAGCAAUGCCGCGUGAACGAGGAAGGUCUUCGGAUCGUAAAGUUCUGUUGAAGGGGAAAAAGAGCGGAGAGAGGAAAUGGUCUCCGAUUGAUAUUACCCUUCGAGGAAGUCACGGCUAACUACGUGCCAGCAGCCGCGGUAAUACGUAGGUGGCGAGCGUUAUCCGGAAUGAUUGGGCGUAAAGGGUGCGUAGGCGGCCUGCUAAGUCUGGAGUGAAAGGUACCGGCUCAACCGGUAUAGGCUCUGGAAACUGGCGGGCUAGAGAGCAGGAGAGGGCGGUGGAACUCCACGUGUAGCGGUAAAAUGCGUAGAUAUAUGGAAGAACACCAGUGGCGAAGGCGGCCGCCUGGCCUGUUACUGACGCUGAGGCACGAAAGCGUGGGGAGCAAAUAGGAUUAGAUACCCUAGUAGUCCACGCCGUANACGAUGAGGACCAAGUGUUGGGGAANACCCAGUGCUGCAGUUAACGCAGUGAGUCCUCCGCCUGGGGAGUAUGCACGCAAGUGUGAAACUCA
rnacentral:rRNA from 1 species